AGGGGUAUAGCUCAGUUGGUAGAGCAGCGGAUUCCAAAUCCGCAGGUCCUUGGUUCGAGUCCAUGUGCCCCUGCCA
rnacentral:tRNA from 1 species